ensembl:lncRNA
GUAAAAUUUGAUGUUGGGUUAGGAUUGUUUUGCCCAUGAAUGUAUGCCACAGAUAAGCUACUUGAACUUUCUAAAGCCACAGGUAUCUUUCUCUGACCUCCAGGAUUGGAGUGCAGCUCCACAUUGGUCCGCCUGAAGUCCACCUGGUCUGUCAAGGAGGCCAAGGCUCAGAAAGGAAAAGAACAAGAGCAGAGCCAUCCAACUGGGGCAGGCUUGGAAUGGACAGAACCAUUUGGUUUGGUUUCAAGACUAAUACCCUUAGCCACCGUUCUUCCCUGCCUCCAAGUGACACCCCCAAAGAACUGUCCUGGCACCACCUCCUGGGGAGCAGCAGCCCAUCCCUCAUCGGCAGCUCCAACCGUCCACAGAAAGGGGGGAGAACAGGAAGAGCCGGAAGUCUCACGGUGGCAGAUCCUGUGAAUAUGGAUGAGGACACAGUGGCAUGUUUACAUGAGCUGCCUUUCCUUUGGAAGACACUUGGCAACAUCAUGUACCAUAUUUUUGAUCAUACCUCAUAAAGACAUGCAGGAAGAGAGGACUUCCAGAAGAGAUUUAGAAAGUGGCAGAAGGAUAGGCUAAGGAGGGAGGAGGAUUAUGAGGGGGACUCAUGGGAAAUGUGUCUUUUUCUGUAAUAAUUGAAAACAACUGUAACAUUCAUUGCCUAGUUCAGUCACACCUCAUGUGCUGUUUUCUCCUCCGCACUGACUUUCACAUCCCCAUGCCCACUGUUCCUUCACCUUCAAGGGACUCAGGGGAGGCUCCUGGGCAGGGGAUUUAUACAGGGUCAGGUCUGGGAAUCAUGCAGCAGCAGCAUUUGGUAGGAAUGGUUUAGUCUUGAGCCCUUCAAGAGGAAACUCUGAAAACAAGACGUAAAACGAGACAUUUAUGGAACCAAAGGAAUUAAAAAGUGCACCUCCUACACAUCCAUUCAGGUAAUACUCAUGAGGUCUGGACUGUUGGACUCAUUUUCCUUUGGAGACACCAAAGCUCAGAGUCCAAGUAACUUCCUGAGUUCUACCAGAAAGAGAGGUGAAGUCAGGCUUUGGAACCACAUAGGAUUGACUGCAAUGCCAUGCCUUCCCCUUGGUGGAAGGAAUGAUGAAUAUUAAGAGUGUAAGCCAAGAAAUCAUAAGAUAAAAGCAAAGUGGAAGGAAUAUAGACUUGGGAUUUUCAAACAAGAAGUAGAUCAUGACUUGAUAUUCUUUGGGGUAGAUAAGCAGGGUCAGAGAAAGUUCAGCAUGCAUCAGGGUGUUUGUAAAUUUUGUGAUUGCACUGCUAUAUCCUGGUCAAGAAGCAAAACAAACAAUCUAGUUUCCCCAAGCUUGCAAAGUAUUGCUAGGUCGCAGAAAACUCUCUAACAGGUUCCAUUCCUGCUAUGAUGUCUAUGUGGCAGUUUACCCCCGAUCAAUAAAUUCUGUAAGGACCAGAAAAGGAUUUUGCUCUUUUUGACCAUUCUGCAGGCUUUUGAUUUUUAUGUUGUCAAGACUUCUCGGAGGUUCUCAAAUGCCAGUAGUAAAAUCCUCCCCCAUAACUCUUUCCUAUGUUUUGGUCAAGCCCAUACCCAAGAAGAUGUCUUGCAUUGGGAAUAGAGGAUAUCAUCUCCCCAGAAGACAUAUGUGGAUGGAAAACUUAAGACAAAGAAUUUGCAGACAUUUUCACAAAAGGCCAUCUAGCAAAUAUUUUAGGGCUAUGGCUAUUUUGGAAGUUGUUCCAGUUUCAUUACAAUAAUUGAAAAAUAAGGAAAAGUUCUGAAACAUAGCUGUAAAAUUCAGUUGAAAUGACUUAGGAAAUGUACCAGAAAUUUAACAACAACUUGGAGGAGGCCCUUUGCAUACGUGACAUGGCUUAAAAACUCAAGCUGGGCUUAAAUUUUUCACUCUCCUGCUUACUUUGUGGAGUUGCUUAACCAAUCAGAACUCAAAAUGCUUUCUCAGCAGUAAAAUGGAAAUUAGAAUGCGUGGAUUCCAAUUAGAAUGAAUUAUCAGAGCUAGAGAAUUAAGCAAUGUAAUGCAUAUCAGAUGCUUAGCACUAUACCUGGCAUAAAGAAAGUACAGCACUUAACAUGCUAGUUUUCUGUAUUGAUUUAGUAUUGAUCAAUUUGUCAUUUAUGAAUGUAGUGACUGUAGCCAAUGAUGUAAAAAAAAAUAAUUAAAAACAUGAAUAUAGCAAGUUAAUUAAUAUAAGAGAAAGAAGCCAU